CUGUUCUAGAUUCAGGUCUGUCUUCAGCUGCUGUAGCAGGGAUUGUUGCUGGUGUUAUUGCUGUUCUGCUGCUGCUGACUGUUGUAGCUGCUGCUGCUGGUGUGAUUUACUAUCGCCGCAGGAGCUCCAGAAAUACAGACAUGGAGAAAACCAAGUAUGAAGGAUUGCUCAGAUGAGAAAAGAUACUGUACUGAAAACUGACAUCACACUAAGAUCUUUGUUUGAUUUUACCUGCAUGGACAAAAUCAUCCUAAGUAAAAAACUACAGUCAGACAAACAUAUGGAAAAACACACUGCUCAGUUAAAAAAUGUAAAAUAUGUGUCGUUAAGCAUUAUCACUGUAACGUUGUGAUGUAAUGUAAAACGUUUUAUUGAAACGCGAGUGAAGUACAUAAUAAAUAAUCAAGUAAUUUGGCAUUUAA